rnacentral:rRNA from 1 species
UACGUAGGAGGCGAGCGUUGUCCGGAUUCACUGGGCGUAAAGGGCGCGUAGGCGGCGGCUUGAGUCCCUGCGUGAAAUCUCCCGGCUCAACCGGGAGGGUGCGCGGGAUACUGGGCGGCUUGAGGACAUCAGAGGAGAGCGGAAUCCCCGGUGUAGUGGUGAAAUGCGUAGAUAUCGUAAGGAAGACCAGUGGCGAAGGCGGGUCUCUGGACAGUUCCUGACGCUGAGGCACGAAGGUCAGGGGAGCAAACGGG